GACGAACGCUGGCGGCGUGCUUAACACAUGCCAGUCGAACGGAAAGGCCCUGCUUUUGUGGGGUGCUCGAGUGGCGAACGGGUGAGUAACACGUGAGUAACCUGCCCUUGACUUUGGGAUAACUUCAGGAAACUGGGGCUAAUACCGGAUAGGAGCUCCUGCUGCAUGGUGGGGGUUGGAAAGUUUCGGCGGUUGGGGCUGGACUCGCGGCUUAUCAGCUUGUUGGUGGGGUAGUGGCUUACCAAGGCUUUGACGGGUAGCCGGCCUGAGAGGGUGACCGGCCACAUUGGGACUGAGAUACGGCCCAGACUCCUACGGGAGGCAGCAGUGGGGAAUAUUGCACAAUGGGCGGAAGCCUGAUGCAGCAACGCCGCGUGCGGGAUGACGGCCUUCGGGUUGUAAACCGCUUUCGCCUGUGACGAAGCGUGAGUGACGGUAAUGGGUAAAGAAGCACCGGCCAACUACGUG
rnacentral:rRNA from 1 species